rnacentral:rRNA from 1 species
GAGGGGUGCAAACGUUAUUCGGAUUAACUGGGCGUAAAGAGUGUGUAGACGGAACAUUAAGUUCGCUGUUAAAUCUUUCGGCUUAACCGAAAGCUUGCGGUGAAAACUAAUGAUCUUGAGGGUGAAAGAGAGAAGUGGAAUUCUCGGAGUAGCGGUAAAAUGCGUAGAUCUCGAGAGGAACACCGAUGGCGAAGGCAGCUUCUUGGUUCACUUCUGACGUUGAGACACGAAAGCGUGGGUAGCAAACAGGAUUAGAUACCCUGGUAGUCCACGCCGUAAACGAUGAUCACUGGAUGUCAGCUUUGCUUAGCAGGGUUGGUAUCGAAGCUAACGCGUUAAGUGAUCCGCCUGGGAAUUACGGUCGCAAGAUUA